GCAAGCUUUUAUUGAACAUUCAAAGCAGUAAGGCGAUUAACAAUGAGUACAUCUAACAGCAAGAGGAGAACACACCUGCACAAUUUUUGAUGCAUUAAAUAUAAUUAGACAAGUAUUACAAGUUCAAUUCAAAUCUCUUUGUUCAAUGAAGAGUAAGUUAGAAUUAAUGGGUAAUCUAUCUAAUAAUCACUAUACAAAACUUUUCCAGCCUCAUCGUCUCUUCUCCUUUAAUUCUUCUGUGUGUCAUUUCCCUUCAAAAACGCCCACAAAUCAUAGAAUAAUCUCUGCUCGUCAAUGAAUGAUAUCUAUAUUUAUUCUUCCUUUUGGACAAAUUUGGCCCACUCUGGAUAACUCUCGUUUUCCAGGGUAACGGUCAAAUAAAUGCCUGCAAGAUUCCCCUGGAUGUUCAAAAUCAUUUGGCAUCCAAAAAAAAUUAUAGUAAUUCCUGUGUGUCCCCAGCUUUAACAAAAAGAUUGUACCAGAAAUCCAUAUCGUUAUCAUCAUCAAUUCUCGGAAAGUUGCUAUAAAAUCCUGCUGCUACCAUACUGUCUGAUGCCAAUUCCAUGCUGGAAUUCUCAGCUAAUUCUGCUUCUGACCAAAGAUCUUGGUCUAUCAACGGAAAAAACAUAUCCGAUGAGUCCAUUUUUUCGACCUUGAUGUUCUCUGUUUCGGCGGUGGCACCUGAAGUUUCGGUUACGGUGGAAAGGUCACUAGAAGAGGGCUGAGGGGACAUUGGUGAAUGCCCUGGACUUGCAAUUAAUCCUGGAAGAGCUGGAAUGAUGGAAUUGUCAGAUUCUGAUAGGUUACUGACACUGAGAUCAUCACAUUUUGGUACUGUCACAUAGAGUUGUUGAUUAUUGGAAUCUUGCUUUUGUUUGAUCUUCUUCUUCAGGUGGGUGUGCCACACAUUCUUAAUCUCGUUGUCUGUCCUUCCUGGUAAUUUCGCUGCAAUUGCCGACCACCUAUUUCCCAGCAUUUCAUGUAACUUGAUAAUGGUUUUCUCUUCUUCCUCGGUGAAGUUUCCUCGCUUAAUGUCUGGCCUCAAAUAGUUUAUCCAUCGGAGUCUGCAACUCUUCCCACAUCUUAAUAAACCAGCUAGCUUAGGCAGUGCACGCCAAUUGCUAUGGCCAUAUUUUUGAAUAUGGGAAAUCAAAAUCUUAUCUUCUUCAGGUGUCCAAGGCCCUUUCUUUAAUCCCAUCUUCUCACAGCAAGGAGCUCUCACCAUUUUUGUUAUCUCAACUCAAGAAGCCUAAAUGCCCUUAUAUAUGUGAUACAUGGGUUUGGAUUCAACCGGAUUGAAUAGGAUUUU
rnacentral:misc_RNA from 1 species